AUUGAACGCUGGCGGCAGGCCUAACACAUGCAAGUCGAACGAGUGGCGGACGGGGGAGUAAUGUCUGGGAAACUGCCCGAGGGAGGGGGGUAAAUACUGGAAACGGUAGCUAAUACCGCAUACCAUCGGAGGUGCCCAGAUGGGAUGAGCUAGUAGGGGGGGUAACGCCUCACCUAGGCGACGAUCCCUCGCUGGUCUGAGAGGAUGACCAGCAACAUUGGAACUGAGACACGGUCCAGACUCCUACGGGAGGCAGCGGUGGGUAAUAUUGCACAAUGGGCGCAAUCCUGAUGCAGCCAUGCCGCGUGUAGGAAGAAGGCCUUGGGUUUGUAAAGUACUUGCAGCGGGGAGGCGUUACUCGCAGAAGAAGCACCGGCUAACUCCGUGCCAGCAGCCGCGGUAAUUC
rnacentral:rRNA from 1 species